rnacentral:rRNA from 1 species
AGGCUACGCUGGCGGCGUGUCUUAGCCAUGCAAGUCGAGCGGACUUAUGGGGUAACUUAUAAGUCAGCGGCGGACGGCGGAGUAACACGUAGCUAACCUACCCUCUGGACGGGGAUAACCUACCGAAAGGUGGGCUAAUACCCGAUGUAGUCAUCCUGUAUAGGGGUGAUGAAAGGUGGGCUUCUGUUUACAAGCUCAUGCUGGAGGAGGGGGCUGCGGCCUAUCAGGUAGUUGGUAGGGUAAUAGCCUACCAAGCCGAUGACGGGUAGCCGGCCUGAGAGGGUGACCGGCCCGAGGGGCACUGAGAUACGGGUCCCACUCCUACGGGAGGCAGCAGGCUAGAAAUUUGGGCAAUGGGGGAAACCCUGACCCAGUGACGCCGCGUGCAGGAAGGAGCCCUUCGGGGUGUAAACUGCUGUCGUGUAGGGAGAAGGGCACUAAGGUGAACAAUCUUAGUACUUGACGGUACUACAGGAGGAAGCCCAGGCUAACCUCGUG